UAAAUACUUCAUCCGUCCGAAAAUACUUGUCUUAACAUGAAUGAAUCUAGACUUAUUUUAGUUAUAGAUACAUUCAUUAUAUUUAUUUUUAGGACAAGUAUUUCCAGACGAAGGCAGUAGGAA
rnacentral:pre_miRNA from 1 species